rnacentral:tRNA from 2 species
AGCGCCGGCCAGGCUGGAAGUUGGCCGGACGGGCUAAGAGCUGGCCGGACGGUCUGGGUGCAGGCCCCGGCUAGCUCUUC